rnacentral:rRNA from 1 species
AUGGUGGUCGUGGAUGCCUCCACGGGGGUGAUGAACGCCCUGCUGUGCAAGCUCUCCAAGCUGCUGGAGGACGAGUACUCCAGGCUCAAAGGCGUGCGCCGUCAGAUAACUUUCCUCAGGGACGAGCUGAGCAGCAUGAACGCCGUACUGGAAACUCUCGCCGACGCGGAGCAGCUCGACCCUCUCAAGACAGAAUGGCGGGACAAGGUGCGCGAGCUCUCCUACGACAUCGAGGAUUGCAUCGACGACUUCGCGGACCGCGUCGGCGAUGACCGUGGCGAGGAGCUGCGGACAGGCCUCAAGGGGUUCUUCAGCAAGCUGAGGAAUCUCAAGGCCCGCCGCGAGAUCGCCGGCGAGAUACAGCAGCUCAAGAUCCGCACGGUCGAGGCGAGCGAGCGGCGCAGGAGGUAUGAUUUUCUUGAGCCGGCGCCGAGAUCUGGCGCUUCUUGUGCCAUCGACCCUCGGCUGCCGGCGUUGUACGAGGAUGCGGCUAGGCUUGUGGGCAUCGAUGGCCCCAAGGAGCAUAUCCUUGGCUGGUUCUGCAAGGAGAAGGAGCAUGAUGAUCUCAAGGUGUUGCCGAUUGUCGGCUCAGGAGGCCUUGGCAAGACCACUCUUGCAAACCAAGUGUACUGCCAGUUAAAAGGACAAUUUCAGUGCAUGGCUCUUGUGUCGGUGUCUCGGAAUCCAAACAUACAGAAGAUUUUACGGCAAAUGCUCACCGAAUUUGGGAUCAGCGGUGGUGCACUGGAUGACGAACGGCAACUCAUCGACAGGAUAAGAGACCACCUCAAAGAUAAAAGGUACUUGGUUGUAAUUGAUGAUGUAUGGGACGUCGAAGCAUGGAAAGCUAUCAGGCUUGCUCUGUUCAAUAAUAAGUGUGGUAGCAGAAUCAUCACCACAACGCGUAACGCUGCCGUCGCGUCAUAUUGCUCAGGUGACAGCAGUUAUGUUUAUCAAAUGGAGUCCCUUAAUUCUGCUGACUCCAGAAGGCUAUUCUUUAAAAGAGCAUUUGGUUCCGAAGAAGUGUGCUACCCUCACCUGGAAGAAGUUUCUAACCAGAUAUUGGCAAAAUGUGGUGGACUUCCAUUGGCGAUUAUAACCUUAUCCAGCUUGUUAGCUGACAAGCAUGCAAAAGAUGAAUGGAACAGGGUGCUGACAGCUAUUGGCUCGGCACUUGCAAAUGAUCCUAAUGCUGGGAACAUGACAAAGAUAUUGUCUCUGAGCUAUUUUGAUCUUUCUCACCAUGUGAGAACCUGUUUGUUGUAUUUGAGUGUAUUCCCAGAAGAUCAUAGGGUUGACAAACAGCGGUUGAUAAGUCGAUGGGUCGCGGAAGGAUUCAUCCAUGAAGAACAAGGGCGAAGUGCCUAUGAAGUAGGCAAGGGCUAUUUCAAUGACCUCAUCAACAAAAACUUGAUCCAGCCAGUUGAUGUAGAGUAUGGCCAGCCCAAGGCGUGCCGGGUUCACGACAUCAUCCUUGAUUUCAUCACGUGCAAGGCUGCUGAAGAAAAUUUCGUCACGUUAUUCGAUUCCGUGGAGCAUGGACAGGCUUCAGAUUACAGGGUUCGCCGGCUUUGUGUCGAGAAUCGCAACAGCAAUAAGGUUACCAUACCAACAAGCCUGAUACUAUCCCAUGUCCGAUCACUUACUGUAUUUGGACACUGCAUGAAAGAAUCUUUGUUGACAUUCCCCACCCUUCGUGUGCUGGACCUGGGAGAAUGUUGGGAGUUAGAAAACCAUCAUCUUGCAAAUAUUGGAAAGUUGCUUCAUCUCAAGUACCUGCGUCUUGGACAAUCUAGAAUUACUGAGCUCCCCAGAAAAAUUGGAGAACUGCGAUAUUUAGAAACACUGGACAUCAGAGGUACCAGGAUUCAGGAACUGCCACCAACUAUUGCUAGGCUUCAACGAUUGGCACAUCUACAUGUUAAUCACAUGAUUAGGUUUCCAGACAGUGUGAUUGGGCAGAUGCAGAGUUUAGAAGAGGUGGAAGAUUUCGGCGUCUUCUCCUAUGAACAGGGCAAGUGUCUGCAAGAAUUCAGUCAGCUAAGUAAGCUGAGGACACUGAAGGUAGCAAAUGGUUGGUCACCUGACACAACCAAAAGGAGCCGUCUUGAGGUUAUCGAGGGUUAUCUGGGAACUUUACUGUCUUCGUGCAAUCUUCGUCAUCUCUAUUUCCUCGACAGUUAUGGCGGUGCCAGCCUUCCAGCUUACCGCUAUCCAGUGUCACUAGAAUCGUCGUGCCCUACUGAUACGUGCAUCCUUAGGAAGCUCCACAUCACAUACUGUUACAUCGACAAGGUUCCAAGUUGGAUGAGCCUGCUUGAAAACCUCAGGGAACUAAACCUUUAUAUGUUCAGUAUGGGAUCAGAAGAUGUUGCGAUUCUUGGAGCAAUUCCAUCUUUGCUUUUUCUUGAGCUGAGGACUUUCUUCGGCACCAACGGGAGGAUCGUGCUCGCCGGGUUCAGAAGCUUGAAGUAUUUCGACCUAGAAAUCUUCUGCUGCGGUACCUUGCUGGAAUUUGAAGCUGGGUCCAUGCCGAAUCUUGAGCACCUCAAGCUUGAACUCCGCGUGCACAAGAUGGAGUGCCUGAACGGCGCUUCUGAUUUCGGCAUCCACCGCCUCUCCACCCUCAACAAGGUUGAGAUCAGUAUUUAUGGCGACACCGAUGGUGUCUACGAUCUGUAUGAAGACAUCACCGUGAAAUGCGUCGCGAGCCGCCUCGAAACCGCCAUCGAGAAGCUUCCCAACCAUCCCGCUCUCUCGUUUCUACCUGGUGGAUUAUCGCCGUGUCUGCAUUUUGAAAAGUUCAUUGAAUCCUACAAUCGAAGGUAUGGAGACCCAAUGGAGUAUUGGAGGUUGUGA